rnacentral:rRNA from 1 species
GAUGAACGCUGGCUACAGGCUUAACACAUGCAAGUCGUGGGGAAACGGCAUUAUGUGCUUGCACAUUCUGGACGUCGACCGGCGCACGGGUGAGUAUCGCGUAUCCAACCUGCCCCUUACUUGGGGAUACCCCGUUGAAAGACGGCCUAAUACCCGAUGUGUUUCAUUGACGGCAUCCGAUAUGAAACAAAGGUUUUCCGGUAAGGGAUGGGGAUGCGUCUGAUUAGCUUGUUGGCGGGGCAACGGCCCACCAAGGCGACGAUCAGUAGGGGUUCUGAGAGGAAGGUCCCCCACAUUGGAACUGAGACACGGUCCAAACUCCUACGGGAGGCAGCAGUGAGGAAUAUUGGUCAAUGGACGCAAGUCUGAACCAGCCAAGUAGCGUGCAGGAUGACGGCCCUAUGGGUUGUAAACUGCUUUUAUGUGGGAAUAAAGUGGCGCACGUGUGCGCCAUUGCAUGUAC